rnacentral:misc_RNA from 1 species
GGAAAUAAGAGUUCUCUCUCCCUUAACAUUAAAAAUAUUUUUUAAAUAUGAAUGUUGAUAUGGUCUAAAAUAAGUUGACCUUCAAGAUGUAGACAUGUGUCAUCACCUGCUGGUCUGUAUGGAUACGAGUGUCCAAUUUGAGACCUUGUUGGAUUACCUACUUAGAUGAACCAUGACCGGCUGAGGGUCACAAGGCUCAAGGCCUAGCGGUACAACCCAGACAACUAAACACCCGAGUUCUACUUCUACCAAGAUAGGAGCUUGGCUGGUCAUUAAUCACUAACGUGACGUAAAGUACAUAGGGGACUUCCCUUGAAGCCCCUCAACAGAUGAAACAUUCACGAAAAGAUAUUAUCAUUACACCCGUUAAACACUAAUCUCACUAGAUACUGUGGGGAUAUCUCAUUGAUCCUGACAUCUCUUCAGGUAGCUCAACAUGCAAGCCACCUAUGAAGCUAAUAAUUACAAAUUCCACUUGCAUUGCCUCACCAACUAGAAGAUGCCAUCUGCUUCAGUCUGCAAAACCCCAAGCUGGUAUAAAUAGAAGAUAUGAGACUUUAAGGAUCCCGGAACUGGGUAUCAAAAUCCUAAUUCUCUGCAUCCCAUUAUUAUCCGAUAUUCUCAGUCCCUGGAC